rnacentral:lncRNA from 1 species
UUCCACGGAGCCGGGCAGAGGUUUUAGGGGUGCAUGGGAGUCAAGUGGUGGUUCAGUGGGGACGGAAUGAUUAACAAAGGCGUCCGAAGAAAUCGUUGUUGGAAGGUGGCCAAGGUGGAAAGAGACGUUGCUUUGGCCCUGCAAGUAAGAAGAGAGAAGGAACAGCCUGAAGGAGUAACACUAAAUUUAAAAUGACACUUUUUUACCAACCAGCGAAAGCAGAUGUUCAAAGGGGAUAUUGGCCAGGUGCACUCACUCACGCCUUUAAUCCCAGCACUUUGGGGGCAGACGCGGGGAGAUAGCAUGAUUCUACGAGUUCAACCCCAGCCUGGGCAACAUACGGAGACCCCGUACCGUCUCUACAAAAACAUUAAACAAAAAAAUUAGCUGAGCAUGGUGGCGUACCCCUGUAGUUGCAGCUACACUAGAGGCUGAGGUGGGAGGAUCGCUUGAGCCCGGGAUGUUGAGGCUGCAGUGAGCCUCAAUCCUACCACUGUGCUCCAGCCUGGGCGACAGAGCGAGCCCGUGUCUCAGAAAAGGGGGGAGGGGUGGGAUAUUAUUGAUGAUAGGCCUUCUGACGUCUGGCAAUAGGAUCCAGAGUAACAUCGGUCAUCUAUAAAUUUUUUUUUAACUCAGUGACUGAAACCAAAGUUAAUUGUCUUGAGUGAUUUUGCACAGUAUCUCAAAAUGAACUGUACUUUUUUUCUUGUGUCCCUGAAACAAUGCUGUGUGUUCUUUUUCAGAGUUUUGUCAACACUAAGAUGAGAAACGUCCUUUCUUCCUGAAGGUGUCUGAUGUGUAAAAAUACUGAUAUACUUUGUGCUGUU